AAUAUUGACAUCAACUAAACCAACAAGUAUUUCAUUUAAUUGUGUACAUUUCAAUAGGUUGAGGGCCCAGACAUCGCAUUACCAAAAAAUUAAAAAAAAUAAAAUCAAAAGCGUACAUAAUUAAAUAAACAAUUAAAUUAUAAAAAAAAAUAGUCUUAUCGUUUAUAUGUGUAUGAAUAUUCGGCAACGCGUAAUUAACACAACUCCUUUGUAGGUUUACAGUGGCUCUAAAGAAGACAAAUCUUAACUGUGCACAAAUAAUUAAAGGUGUGUGAGUGAAUGAAACAAGAAUUUAACGUGACAACGUUUUCGGAAAAUAAAAAAGAAAAAUACAAUCCAAAAGGGUAGCAAAUUCAAGAAUAUUAAUAUUUAUAUGUUAUUGAAAAGGAGAAACCGGAAAAAAUGGGCUAAGGCAAAAGGAGCAGCAAACAAUAUAAUAAUUGAAUUCCUUACCGAUUCGUUUCUGUCAUUUGCUGAGAAUAAGCACUCUGCAAUGGAAAUUUUAAAGAAGUUAGACUCAGUGUUCGUCCGUAAAAGUUUAGCCUCGGUUCACUUUAAAAAAUUUGACGAAUUUAUGAAUGGGUUAAUAGCAUCAGGAGCUAAAAUUGAAGAGGUGGAUAAAGUGUCACACCUACUUUUAACUUUACCUUACACAUAUGAUGGGAUGGUAAAUGCUAUUGAAACCUUGUUAAUUGAAAAACUGACUCUGGCAUUUGUCAAAAAUCGACUACUUGAUCAUGAGAUCGAACUUAAGAAUGCUAGUAAGAAUACGAGCAAUAAUAAGGACAUUCCACAAAAUUUACUAUCGGUGCCAAAGAUGCAGAAUGCUGGUAUGACAAUUCAGUUCAAUUCAACUGGUGUAAGUGUUAAAGAACGGACAAGGCGUUUUAGAAGGUACUUUCACUACUCAAUACUACUACUACUCAAUAGUAGAGGCAGGCAACAAAUGCCUCAUCUACACAUGAGUAGAGGAUAGUUUAUAGAAGUUGUGCGAAAUAAUGUUUGAGGAUAUAGAAAUUUUAAGAAAUGUACAACUGCAUGACAAUUUGUGUGAGGCUUGUGUUAAUGGCAAACAAACUAGACUCCCGUUUAGUGGAACUAAAAAUAAAGACAAUGUCAAGAGACCUUUAUUUAUGGUUCAUUCGGAUGUUUAUGGUCCAAUACCACCUACUUGAAUUCAUGGUGAAAACUAUGAUGUAGUCUUUGUCGAACAAUAUAGACAUUAUUGUGUAAGCUAUUUGAUAACCUAUAAAUCUGAUGUGUUUUCAUUUUUUAAAGAUUAUGUGGCAAAGAGCGAGUCACAUUUUAACUUAAAGGUUGCGAAUCUCUGCAUUGAUAAUGGGAGAGAGUACUUGUCUAACGACAAGCGUAGCUAUUGUUUAGAAUAUGGCAUAAGCUACCAUUUAACGGUUCCUCAUACACCACAACUAAACGGAGUAUCAGAACGCAUGAUUGGAUAUUUAACAGAGAAGGCAAGAACAAAGAUCAAUUCUGCAAAAUUGGGUAAAAGGUUUUGGAGUAAAGCUGUUUUAACAGCAAUAUUUUUAAAUUAAUAGAACUCCAAGUAGGGCAUUACGGGAAAAGAACACCAUUUGUGGCACAACAAAAAACGUAUUUUAAAAUUAAAAAAAAAAAAUAUUUGGCUUAACGGUUACAUGACACUAGCAGCGAAAUUAGUCGCCUUCCUGCCUUCAACCAUUGAGAAAUAAAGUGAAAGAGCUAAACCAGACACUCUGAGCUUUUUAACCGUUUUAAAAACCACGAGAAUAGAUCGGGCUGGUCCGCAAACGCAAAAUCAAAAUCCAAAGAAAAGCUCAUUUACCAUAGGAAGCAACAGUGCGUACGAAACCUAAUUUGUUCUUCAUCCCCGUUUUGAUCGACAAGAGGUUUGCGAGCCAUGAUGAGGACAUUGGAUACUCAGUGCAAAGAGAGGGGACAAUAAAGCCAAUUUGUUCUUGGGGGUUUCUCUGUCCUUCCUACAAGGCAGCGCGUAGAAACCACAACAGCACAAUUUGGGUACUUAUGUUGUUAUUGAAGAGCCAAGUCUCAGCGCAAGCAGGUAUAAAAUUAUGACGCCAGCAAGCCAUGGCAAUCAUAUUAAAGGGAUACGCGGACGGCGCACUAACAUCAUAUAUUAUAGCGUCACAAUUAAUAGAACUUAAUUUUUUGUGAUGUUUAGUAUAUAUUUCUACUUAUAUUAGGCAUAUUUAAAUAAUUUAUGAAUAGGAUCCUUUACAGUAUAUAAUUGAAUGAUGUAUGUAAUCACUUUAAAUACGAAAUGAUCGCACGGAAUAAACCCUAGGCUGUGACGUCACAUGCGCAACAGAA